GAUGAAUGCUGGCGGCGUGCUUAACACAUGCAAGUCGAGCGGCAGCGCGAAGAGUUUACUCUUUGGCGGCGAGCGGCGGACGGCUGAGUAACGCGUGGGAACAUGCCCUAAAGUGAGGAAUAACUGCCCGAAAGGGUGGCUAAUGCCGAAUAUGAUCUUCGGAUUAAAGGAUUUAUCCGCUUUAGGAGUGGCCUGCGUAUGAUUAGGGAGUUGGUGAGGUAAUGGCUCACCAAGCCGACGAUCAUUAGCUGGUCUGAGAGGAUGCCCAGCCAGACUGGAACUGAGACACGGUCCAGACUCCUACGGGAGGCAGCAGUGUGGAAUAUUCCACAAUGGGCGAAAGCCUGAUGGAGCAACGCCGCGUGAAGGAUGAAGGCCCUCGGGUCGUAAACUUCUUUUAUAAGUGAAGAAUAUGACGGUAACUUAUGAAUAAGCACCGGCUAACUACGUGCCAGCAGCCGCCGUAA
rnacentral:rRNA from 1 species